rnacentral:rRNA from 1 species
UACGAAGGGAGCUAGCGUUGUUCGGAAUUACUGGGCGUAAAGCGCGCGUAGGUGGCUUUGCAAGUUGAGAGUGAAAGCCCUGAGCUCAACUCAGGAAAUGCUCUCAAAACUGCAUCGCUAGAGAUCGAUAGGGGAUAGUGGAAUUCCUAGUGUAGAGGUGAAAUUCUUAGAUAUUAGGAGGAACACCGGAGGCGAAAGCGACUAUCUGGGUCGCAUCUGACACUGAGGCGCGAAAGCGUGGGGAGCAAACAGG